rnacentral:rRNA from 1 species
CCUCGGGAGGCAGCAGUGAGGAAUAUUGGUCAAUGGCCGAGAGGCUGAACCAGCCAAGUCGCGUGAGGGAAGAAUGUCCUAUGGAUUGUAAACCUCUUUUGUCAGGGAGCAAAGUCACCCACGUGUGGGUGUUGGAGAGUACCUGAAGAAAAAGCAUCGGCUAACUCCGUGCCAGCAGCCGCGGUAAUACGGAGGAUGCGAGCGUUAUCCGGAUUUAUUGGGGUUAAAGGGUGCGUAGGCGGGAUGCCAAGUCAGCGGUAAAAAUGCGGUGCUCAACGCCGUCGAGCCGUUGAAACUGGCGUUCUUGAGUGGGCGAGAAGUAUGCGGAAUGCGUGGUGUAGCGGUGAAAUGCAUAGAUAUCACGCAGAACUCCGAUUGCGAAGGCAGCAUACCGGCGCCCUACUGACGCUGAGGCACGAAAGCGUGGGUAUCGAACAGGAUUAGAUACCCGAGUAGUC